AAGUCGUAACAAGGUUUUCGUAGGUGAACCUGCGGAAGGAUCAUUAUUGAAGAACAAGAGCGCACUUUAUUGUGGCUCGAACCCCCUUCAUAUCCACCCACCCUGUGCACUGGAUACUUUUUAUUUCAGACUCUACAAGUCAAUGAAUGUACCACUUUAAUAAAGUAAACAAAACUUUCAACAACGGAUCUCUAGGUUCUC
rnacentral:misc_RNA from 1 species